AUGCACAGGGGAAUUCAACAAAGAUGGAAAGAAAGAAAAAAAAAGAAAGAAAGCUUUUUUUGGUUAAAUUGGUGUUUGAGAGCCACCUCCUGCCCUAGCACUUUGUGCACUGAGACCCAUCGGGUUGCUCCGAGCUGCCUGACGCCCCGGGUCCUUACAGCUGGUAAAAAUGGGGUGAGAAUGCCCCGCAUGGGCGGUCACCGGGGCGGCCCAGGGCUGGGCGUUACGACGAGCGUGCACCUAAGCGGGCCACGCAGACGUGGUGAACUUCUGCAAAACGCAGCAGGUCCGCCGCGGGGCAGCGGGGGCCGCACCCUGAGCCCGGAGCGCGGGCGCUGCAAGGCCCCUCGGCCCGCGGGAGUCGGGGCGCGCCGGGGGCGCCGAGGCCGGGCCACCGAGCCCAUCCCCCGCGCGGCGGCGCCUCCGGGACCCGGGGCGCCCCCCGGCCGGGCCGAGGCCGUGCUCCCGGCCGCCGCGAGCGCUCGGGCAGGGCUGGGCGCAGGGGCUCCCUUGCGCCCCCCGCCCCCGCGCCCCCCGCGCCCCCGCGCCCCCCGCGCCCCCGCUCGCCCGCGGCGCCCGGCCACGCGGCCCCGCGCGCGGGAGCCGGCUCCUCGCCGGCCCGGCCGCCCGCCCGCCCCGCUCGGCGAGGCACGCAGCCCAUUGGCCAGGCCCGCGGGGCACCCCUCCCUGAUUGGCGCGAAGCCCCGUCUGUCCGCCGGCGGUGUGGCCGUCCCGCGCGGCGCUCGGCGGGCGCUCGCCGCUUCCCGCCCGGGAGAACGGCUCCCCUGGCCCGCAGGCAGCCUACCUGAGGCCGGCUCGCAGGCCUGCCGUCGGCGGGGGCGCUGGGCGAGGGACGCGCGGGGCCGCGGGCAGCCAGUGAGCCGGCGCCGCCGCAUGCGCCCGGCAGUCUCUCGCGGGGGCGGGCUCCGGGCGCUGCGCACGCAGGGCGGGGGGCGGGGCUGGCGCGCGGGCCCUCCCCCGGGGCGGGGCCUGCGCCGGCCCGAGUGCGCAGGCGCGGGCGGCCGGCUCCUCGGCCCGGGGGCGGGGCGCGGGCGGGGCCGGGGGGCGGGGCCGGGCGGGGCGGGGCGGGGCGGGGCCGGGCGGCGCCGCUGCCUCUCUGGCGGGGGAGGCUCUCCGACCUGGCAAGGCUGUCGCCGGGCUCCUGCAGCCUCCCAGGCGAGGCUAGAUGGUCCCGCCGCGUCUCUGAGCCGCCCGACCCCGUGA
rnacentral:lncRNA from 1 species